rnacentral:rRNA from 1 species
UUUGUUGUUUUGUAGGGCACACGGUGGAUGCCUUGGCAUAUCAAGCCGAUGAAGGACGUGAGAGGCUGCGUUAUGCCUCGGGGAGUUGCCAACUAAGCGUUGAUCCGAGGAUGUCCGAAUGGGGAAACCCAGCCGCAGUGAUGUGUGGUUACCUGCCAGUGAAUGUAUAGCUGGUGUGGAGGUUUACACGGGGAAGUGAAACAU